GAAAUGCGAUAAGUAAUGUGAAUUGCAGAAUUCAGUGAAUCAUCGAAUCUUUGAACGCACAUUGCGCCCGCCAGUAUUCUGGCGGGCAUGCCUGUUCGAGCGUCAUUUCAACCAUCAAGCCCCCGGGCUUGUGUUGGGGACCUGCGGCUGCCGCAGGCCCCGAAAACCAGUGGCGGGCUCGCUGUCACACCGGGCGUAGUAGAUUUUUCGUCUCGCCCAGGGCGUGCUGCAGGUUCCGGCCGUUAAAAAGCCUCUCUUUUAACCCAAGGUUGACCUCGGAUCAGGUAGGAAGACCCGCUGAACUUAAGC
rnacentral:misc_RNA from 1 species